UGGGGAAUAUUGGACAAUGGGCGAAAGCCUGAUCCAGCCAUGCCGCGUGUGUGAAGAAGGUCUUCGGAUUGUAAAGCACUUUAAGUUGGGAGGAAGGGCAUUAACCUAAUACGUUAGUGUUUUGACGUUACCGACAGAAUAAGCACCGGCUAACUCUGUGCCAGCAGCCGCGGUAAUACAGAGGGUGCAAGCGUUAAUCGGAAUUACUGGGCGUAAAGCGCGCGUAGGUGGUUUGUUAAGUUGGAUGUGAAAUCCCCGGGCUCAACCUGGGAACUGCAUUCAAAACUGACUGACUAGAGUAUGGUAGAGGGUGGUGGAAUUUCCUGUGUAGCGGUGAAAAGCGUAGAUAUAAGAAGGAACACCAGUGGCGAAGGCGACCACCUGGACUAAUACUGACACUGAGGUGCGAAAGCGUGGGGAGCAAACA
rnacentral:rRNA from 1 species